rnacentral:rRNA from 1 species
GACGAACGCUGGCGGCGUGCUUAACACAUGCAAGUCGAACGGAAAGGCCUGCUUUCCCUUGUGGAUUGCGGGUACUCGAGUGGCGAACGGGUGAGUAACACGUGAGUGAUCUGCCCCCAACUUGGGUAUAAGCCUGGGAAACUGGGUCUAAUUCCCGAUAGGACUGCAGGGUGGUGCCUGUGGUGGAAAGCGAUUUUCUAGUGGUUGGGGAUGAGCUCGCGGCCUAUCAGCUUGUUGGUGGGGUAAUGGCCUACCAAGGCGGCGACGGGUAGCCGGCCUGAGAGGGUGGACGGCCACAGUGGGACUGAGAGACGGCCCAGACUCCUACGGGAGGCAGCAGUGGGGAAUAUGGCACAAUGGGCGGAAGCCUGAUGCAGCGACGCCGCGUGGGGGAUGACGGCCUUCGGGUUGUAAACUCCUUUCGACCGCGAGGAAGCCACCUGGUUGGAAGGGUGGUGACGGUAGUGGUAGAAGAAGCACCGGCUAACUACGUG